UUCGGCUGGUUAGUGGCGGACGGGUGAGUAACACGUGGGAGACGUGUUCCUCAAGUGGGGGAAAACCAGGGGAAACCCUGGCUAAUCCCCCAUGUGAACCCCCGCCCUGGCGGGUGUUUAAAGCUUCGGCGCUUGAGGAUCGGCCCGCGCUGCAUCAGGUAGUUGGUGGGGUAAUGGCCUACCAAGCCGACGACGCAUAGCUGGUCUGAGAGGACGACCAGCCACAGGAGCACUGAGACACGGGCUCCACUCCUACGGGAGGCAGCAGUUAGGAAUCUUCGGCAAUGGGCGAAAGCCUGACCGAGCGAUACCGCUUGAAGGAUGAAGCCCUUCGGGGUGUAAACUUCUGAACUCGGGACGAUCAUGACGGUACCGAGGUAAUAGCACCGGCUAACUCCGUGCCAGCAGCCGCGGUAAUACGGAGGGUGCGAGCGUUACCCGGAUUUACUGGGCGUAAAGGGCGUGUAGGCGGUCUUUCAAGUCCGGUGCUAAAGUCUGGGGCUCAACCCCAGGACUGCGUUGGAUACUGUGAGGCUAGACGGUCGGAGGGGGUAGCGGAAUUUCCGGAGUAGCGGUGAAAUGCGCAGAUACCGGAAGGAACGCCAAUAGCGAAGGCAGCUACCUGGACGACUUGUGAC
rnacentral:rRNA from 1 species